GUUACAUGCCAAAGUCUCCUCAGUGUGUGUGGUUUGUUAAUUCAAAUGCUCUAGCAAACGCUACUAAUGAUUAGCCGGCAGCCAGCCAGCGAGCAGCAAAAUCUGGUCAUUCUCCCCUCAGAAUCUGUCAUCUUGUCCUUGACCAAAGUAUUUAGAUCCAUGCUGGUCAAAGAUGUGCUGCCACUUGGCACACCUUCUCGGCCAUCACGGAGUCACAUGCUUCACUAGAUGACCAGAGAUCUAUCAUUGUAUGUUAAGACUGAAGGGAAACAUUGCCAAGGAGCGAUCUGCUGCCUACAGGAGGAGAGCAAUUAUGACUGGAGGAUGUAAUGACUGUUGCACCCUACUCUGAAGGACACAGUGUGCCAUCAGUUCUAAAAGAGGGCUCUGCUAAAGGCUUUGAUUAAGGAGGAUGUUUCCUUCCCCUGCCGGUGCGUCUCACCUCUAAACAUACACACUUUCCCCUUUCUCCAAGGCAUCUGUGACAGGCCUAUACAUCCACUAACAGGACACCUGUGGACCGACAGAUAACAUGGAGGGAAUCCAAUAACGGUGAUGGGCCGGUGCGGUGCCUGAGUGAAACAGCGCUGACCUGUAGUGUGUGAACGGUGUGAGAUUGGGCACCUCCAGCAUCUGAGCUUCAGGGUCAUUCUCUUUCUCGUACAACACCUUCCACUCUUCCUCUUCACCGAUACUGCCAACCUAAAGACAGAGAGCCCCACUGUUACAGUCUGUGCCAACAAUACCAGUGACCCCUUCAUGUGAUGAGCCCCUCGUGAGGGAUGGAUUAAAGGGGUCAUGAACUGCCUUUUUUUUUUUUUUUUGUACUGCUAAUGUUAUCAAGAUAAUAUCAAGAAUGUAAUAUAUUAUUAACAUAUUAUUAUUAUUAUAUUAUUAUAAAGAUAAGCUUGAUGUUUGCAAAAUUAAAUAAUUGGCUGUCACUGUAAUGAACUCAAAACAAACUAUUAAAACAUUAUCUGGAAGACAUUCA